GACGAACGCUGGCGGCGUGCUUAACACAUGCAAGUCGAGCGGAGCGUCGAACGGGUGAGUAACGCGUGAGUAACUGCCCCCCUCUCCGGGAUAACAGUUGGACACGUCUGCUAAUACCGGAUAGUGGGGGAUGACUCGCGGCCUAUCAGCUUGUUGGUGGGGUAGUGGCCUACCAAGGCGACGACGGGUAGCCGGCCUGAGAGGGCGACCGGCCACAUUGGGCUGGGAUACGGCCCAAAGUGCUACGGGGGGCAGCGGUGGGGAAUAGUGCCCAAUGGGGGAAACGCUGAUGCAGCAACGCCGCGUGGGGAAUGACGGCCUUCGGGUUGUAAACCGCUUUCAGCCAUGACGCGGUAGUGGCAGAAGAAGCACCGGCUAACUACGUGCCAGCAGCCGCGGUAAUAC
rnacentral:rRNA from 1 species